AGAGUUUGAUCCUGGCUCAGGAUGAACGCUGGCGGCGUGCCUAACACAUGCAAGUCGAGCGAUUCUUUUCGGAGAAGAGCGGCGGACGGGUGAGUAACGCGUGGGUAACCUGCCCUGUACACACGGAUAACAUACCGAAAGGUAUGCUAAUACGAGAUAAUAUACUUUUAUCGCAUGGUAGAAGCAUCAAAGCUCCGGCGGUACAGGAUGGACCCGCGUCUGAUUAGCUAGUUGGUAAGGUAACGGCUUACCAAGGCGACGAUCAGUAGCCGACCUGAGAGGGUGAUCGGCCACAUUGGAACUGAGACACGGUCCAAACUCCUACGGGAGGCAGCAGUGGGGAAUAUUGCACAAUGGGCGAAAGCCUGAUGCAGCAACGCCGCGUGAGCGAUGAAGGCCUUCGGGUCGUAAAGCUCUGUCCUCAAGGAAGAUAAUGACGGUACUUGAGGAGGAAGCCCCGGCUAACUACGUGCCAGCAGCCGCGGUAAUACGUAGGGGGCUAGCGUUAUCCGGAAUUACUGGGCGUAAAGGGUGCGUAGGUGGUUUCUUAAGUCAGAGGUGAAAGGCUACGGCUCAACCGUAGUAAGCCUUUGAAACUGGGGAACUUGAGUGCAGGAGAGGAGAGUGGAAUUCCUAGUGUAGCGGUGAAAUGCGUAGAUAUUAGGAGGAACACCAGUUGCGAAGGCGGCUCUCUGGACUGUAACUGACACUGAGGCACGAAAGCGUGGGGAGCAAACAGGAUUAGAUACCCUGGUAGUCCACGCCGUAAACGAUGAGUACUAGCUGUCGGAGGUUACCCCCUUCGGUGGCGCAGCUAACGCAUUAAGUACUCCGCCUGGGAAGUACGCUCGCAAGAGUGAAACUCAAAUGAAUUGACGG
rnacentral:rRNA from 1 species